rnacentral:rRNA from 1 species
AUGUUCCUGGGCUGCGAGGCUCACUUCGAGCUGUGGAAAAGGCUAUUUUGCCUUGUCCCUCGCACACAGAGGGGGUCACUUUAUCAAGUGGGCGGAGCCAAAAUAUGGUGCAUCGCCGAUACCGGAUACCUGUCUGGUACUCCGAAGAGGUCACCCGAAGACUGGCCUUCAGAAUGGUUUUAUAUGGAGGACGUUCCCCUUCCGGACCCUGUUCGGCGGGGUCUUCCUGAGUUCAACAAUGCUCCUCUGAAGAAACGCCGAAGUUGGCGCCCACGGAGCCCCCAGGUGGAAGACAAUGGAGAAGUCCUCUAUCUGAUGAACCGAAUUAAAGCACUGGCUCGAUCAGGAUUGACAGUAAUCGAACUUAUGUCGAUUUGCAUAAUGCUGGGAGUGCAACCACUUCAAUAUCGUGGGCACCCCUUGUGGUGUUAUAACGGGGCAGAUGAUGCCACCCGCUGCGGGCGUAAGGGUCCGGACAAUGCUGCCGCUUUAGCGAAAAUUCUGUCUGAAUUGUUCAAGGGUGAGGAAGAGGAGUUCACUCGCAUCAAGCCACAGGAUGGAUUCUCCAUGUACAAUCCUCCAAGCUGGGAACUGCGAAAAGCCAUAAAGGAGGUCAACAGCCCUUCUCCACAACUAGAGGACCCUGACCGGGCCCUCGACUCCGGACUUGAAGAAGAUUCGGUUAUAUUCGUGGAGCUGAUAGACCGGCAGUUCUAUCAGCUAAGCUGCGACGAUGCCAUGGUGGCCAUUAUGGCCGACUAUCCCGGACUGCUCCCUGCAUCGCACGGAAGGCAUUCGGGACGCCCUGCCGAACCCGCAGCAACGCGCCAACAGGAGGCACCGAGGCCGGGUAGGCCAAAAAGGAAGGCGGUUAGGACGGAGACGCCUGCGCAAAGAAAAGACGCUCGCCGGAAUAUGUCCGGCGAUGUUACUAAUCAAGCUUCCACCAGCCGGGCGCCAGGACCGUACAUAGAGGCGGAAGCCGAUAUGGGGCGGGCGCCGGAUAAUCCCCCUACAGAGGAUGCAGAUAUAGAUUAUCCGCUACAAACUCAGAGGUGGAAAGCACCAUGA